rnacentral:rRNA from 1 species
UGGGGAAUUUUGGACAAUGGGCGAAAGCCUGAUCCAGCAAUGCCGCGUGUGUGAAGAAGGCCUUCGGGUUGUAAAGCACUUUUGUCCGGAAAGAAAUCCUUGGCUCUAAUACAGUCGGGGGAUGACGGUACCGGAAGAAUAAGCACCGGCUAACUACGUGCCAGCAGCCGCGGUAAUACGUAGGGUGCAAGCGUUAAUCGGAAUUACUGGGCGUAAAGCGUGCGCAGGCGGUUUGCUAAGACCGAUGUGAAAUCCCCGGGCUCAACCUGGGAACUGCAUUGGUGACUGGCAGGCUAGAGUAUGGCAGAGGGGGGUAGAAUUCCACGUGUAGCAGUGAAAUGCGUAGAGAUGUGGAGGAAUACCGAUGGCGAAGGCAGCCCCCUGGGCCAAUACUGACGCUCAUGCACGAAAGCGUGGGGAGCAAACAGGAUUAGAUACCCUGGUAGUCCACGCCCUAAACGAUGUCAACUAGUUGUGGGGAUUCAUUUCCUAGUAACGUAGCUAACGCGUGAAGUUGACCGCCUGGGGAGUACGGUCGCAAGAUU